rnacentral:rRNA from 1 species
UACGUAGGGCGCGAGCGUUGUCCGGAAUUAUUGGGCGUAAAGAGCUCGUAGGCGGUCUGUUGCGUCGGCUGUGAAAACCCGGGGCUCAACUCCGGGCCUGCAGCCGAUACGGGCAGACUAGAGUUCGGCAGGGGAGAAUGGAAUUCCCGGUGUAGCGGUGAAAUGCGCAGAUAUCGGGAGGAACACCAAUGGCGAAGGCAGCUCGCUGGGACGUGACUGACGCUGAGACGCGAAAGCGUGGGGAGCAAACAGG